AGGCUUAAAACAUGCAAGUCGAGCGGGCGAGGUUGCUUCGGUAACUGAGCUAGCGGCGGACGGGUGAGUAAUGCUUAGGAAUCUGCCUAUUAGUGGGGGACAACAUUCCGAAAGRAGUGCUAAUACCGCAUACGCCCUACGGGGGAAAGCAGGGGAUCUUCGGACCUUGCGCUAAUAGAUGAGCCUAAGUCAGAUUAGCUAGUUGGUGGGGUAAAGGCCUACCAAGGCGACGAUCUGUAGCGGGUCUGAGAGGAUGAUCCGCCACACUGGGACUGAGACACGGCCCAGACUCCUACGGGAGGCAGCAGUGGGGAAUAUUGGACAAUGGGCGCAAGCCUGAUCCAGCCAUGCCGCGUGUGUGAAGAAGGCCUUUUGGUUGUAAAGCACUUUAAGCGAGGAGGAGGCUACUUGGAUUAAUACUCUAGGAUAGUGGACGUUACUCGCAGAAUAAGCACCGGCUAACUCUGUGCCAGCAGCCGCGGUAAUACAGAGGGUGCGAGCGUUAAUCGGAUUUACUGGGCGUAAAGCGUGCGUAGGCGGCUUUUUAAGUCGGAUGUGAAAUCCCUGAGCUUAACUUAGGAAUUGCAUUCGAUACUGGGAAGCUGGAGUAUGGGAGAGGAUGGUAGAAUUCCAGGUGUAGCGGUGAAAUGCGUAGAGAUCUGGAGGAAUACCGAUGGCGAAGGCAGCCAUCUGGCCUAAUACUGACGU
rnacentral:rRNA from 1 species